rnacentral:rRNA from 1 species
AUACGUAGGGGGCGAGCGUUGUCCGGAAUGAUUGGGCGUAAAGGGCGCGUAGGCGGCCCGGUAAGUCUGGAGUGAAAGUCCUGUUUUUAAGAUGGGAAUUGCUUUGGAUACUGUCGGGCUUGAGUGCAGGAGAGGUAAGUGGAAUUCCCAGUGUAGCGGUGAAAUGCGUAGAGAUUGGGAGGAACACCAGUGGCGAAGGCGACUUACUGGACUGUAACUGACGCUGAGGCGCGAAAGUGUGGGGAGCAAACAGGAUUAGAUACCCUGGUAGUCCACACUGUAAACGAUGAAUGCUAGGUGUAGGGGGUAUCGACCCCUUCUGUGCCGCAGUCAACACAAUAAGCAUUCCGCCUGGGGAGUACGGCCGCAAGGUUGAAACUCAAAGGAAUUGACGGGU